UGGAUUAGCUAGUUGGUGGGGUAAAGGCCUACCAAGGCGACGAUCCAUAGCUGGUCUGAGAGGAUGAUCAGCCACAUUGGGACUGAGACACGGCCCAAACUCCUACGGGAGGCAGCAGUGGGGAAUAUUGGACAAUGGGCGCAAGCCUGAUCCAGCCAUGCCGCGUGUGUGAUGAAGGCCUUAGGGUUGUAAAGCACUUUCACCGGAGAAGAUAAUGACGGUAUCCGGAGAAGAAGCCCCGGCUAACUUCGUGCCAGCAGCCGCGGUAAUACGAAGGGGGCUAGCGUUGUUCGGAAUUACUGGGCGUAAAGCGCACGUAGGCGGAUAUUUAAGUCAGGGGUGAAAUCCCAGAGCUCAACUCUGGAACUGCCUUUGAUACUGGGUAUCUU
rnacentral:rRNA from 3 species